rnacentral:sRNA from 1 species
UAGAUCCCCUGUUACUAAAGCCUGU